rnacentral:siRNA from 1 species
UGAAAGAGAUCAAGUGCUGA